rnacentral:rRNA from 1 species
GGGCAAGCGUUAUCCGGAUUUACUGGGUGUAAAGGGAGCGUAGACGGCAUUGCAAGUCUGAUGUGAAAGAUUGGGGCUCAACCCCAGGCCUGCAUUGGAAACUGUAAAGCUGGAGUACAGGAGAGGUAAGCGGAAUUCCUAGUGUAGCGGUGAAAUGCGUAGAUAUUAGGAGGAACACCAGUGGCGAAGGCGGCUUACUGGACUGUAACUGACGUUGAGGCUCGAAAGCGUGGGGAGCA